UACGGAGGGUGCAAGCGUUAUCCGGAAUCACUGGGUUUAAAGGGUGCGUAGGCGGCUUGAUAAGUCAGGGGUGAAAGCCCGCAGCUUAACUGCGGAACUGCCUUUGAUACUGUCGAGCUUGAAAGAGGUUGAGGUCAGCGGAACGUGACAUGUAGCGGGGAAAUGGAUAGAUAUGUCGCAGUACACCGAUUGCGAAGGCAGCUGGCUGGACCUACUUUGACGCUGAGGCACGAAAGCGUGGGGGGCGAGCAGG
rnacentral:rRNA from 1 species